rnacentral:rRNA from 1 species
AUAGAUACCCAGGUAGUCCACGCCGUAAACGAUGAGUGCUAAGUGUUAGGGGGUUUCCGCCCCUUAGUGCUGCAGCUAACGCAUUAAGCACUCCGCCUGGGGAGUACGGUCGCAAGACUGAAACUCAAAGGAAUUGACGGGGGCCCGCACAAGCGGUGGAGCAUGUGGUUUAAUUCGAAGCAACGCGAAGAACCUUACCAGGUCUUGACAUCCCAUUGGCCACUAUGGAGACAUAGUUUUCCCUUCGGGGACAACGGUGACAGGUGGUGCAUGGUUGUCGUCAGCUCGUGUCGUGAGAUGUUGGGUUAAGUCCCGCAACGAGCGCAACCCUUGUUCUUGGUUGCCAUCAUUUAGUUGGGCACUCUAAGGAGACUGCCGGUGACAAACCGGAGGAAGGUGGGGAUGACGUCAAAUCAUCAUGCCCCUUAUGACCUGGGCUACACACGUGCUACAAUGGACGGUACAAACGGUUGCCAACCCGCGAGGGGAGCUAAUCCGAUAAAACCGUUCUCAGUUCGGAUUGUAGGCUGCAACUCGCCUACA